rnacentral:rRNA from 1 species
UCCAGACUCCUACGGGAGGCAGCAGUGGGGAAUAUUGCACAAUGGGGGGAACCCUGAUGCAGCGACGCCGCGUGGGUGAAGGAGUACUUCGGUACGUAAAGCCCUAUCAGCAGGAAAGAAAAUGACGGUACCUGACUAAGAAGCCCCGGCUAACUACGUGCCAGCAGCCGCGGUAAUACGUAGGGGGCAAGCGUUAUCCGGAUUUACUGGGUGUAAAGGGAGCGUAGACGGUAUGGCAAGUCUGAUGUGAAAACCCGGGGCUCAACCCCGGGACUGCAUUGGAAACUGUCGGACUAGAGUGUCGGAGAGGCAAGUGGAAUUCCUAGUGUAGCGGUGAAAUGCGUAGAUAUUAGGAGGAACACCAGUGGCGAAGGCGGCUUGCUGGACGAUGACUGACGUUGAGGCUCGAAAGCGUGGGGAGCAAACAGGAUUAGAUACCCGUGUAUG